rnacentral:rRNA from 1 species
UACGAAGGGGGGCGAGCGUUGUUCGGAAUUACUGGGCGUAAAGGGCGCGCAGGCGGUCCUUCAAGUCAGAUGUGAAAGCCCCGGGCUCAACCUGGGAACUGCAUUUGAGACUGGAGGACUUGAGGACGGGAGAGGAGAGUGGAAUUCCCAGUGUAGAGGUGAAAUUCGUAGAUAUUGGGAAGAACACCGAUGGCGAAGGCAGCUCUCUGGACCGUUACUGAC